rnacentral:lncRNA from 1 species
UUUCAUGCGGAAUAUAUAUCUUUACGAUUUGAAUAGAUAAAGAGUUUGAAUAUGAAUCAUCACAAAACUUUUAUGUAAAAUAUAUUUUUGGAUCACUGAUUUAGCUUUGAUUUAAUAUAUUAUUAGGUCUUGGUUUUAUUCAGUAUUUAAAUAUUAACGCUUUGGAUUUUUAAAUUUAAAAUUAUAGUAAUAUUCUAUUUUUUAUUUUUUAAUAAUUAUUUUUAUAAUUUUUAUUUUUUAUGACUGAUCGCGAGUUAGGUGGUCUGAGUUCGAGUUUGUAUAUUGAAACUCAUAUAAUAAAUGAACUGAGCUGAGUUAGCUCAUGAGAGACCCGAACUCACCAUGAGUUGAGCUGAGUUGAAAGAGCUAACUCAUUUUGACACCCUUAAUACUUUAUCAUUGGCUUUGAAACAUAUCAGCCAAAUCAAUGAUUAUAUGUUUGGUCAAAAUAGUUCUUGGGAAGACUUUUUGAA